rnacentral:rRNA from 1 species
ACUCCUACGGGAGGCAGCAGUGGGGAAUAUUGCACAAUGGGGGAAACCCUGAUGCAGCAACGCCGCGUGAGUGAUGACGGCCUUCGGGUUGUAAAGCUCUGUCUUCAGGGACGAUAAUGACGGUACCUGAGGAGGAAGCCACGGCUAACUACGUGCCAGCAGCCGCGGUAAUACGUAGGUGGCGAGCGUUGUCCGGAUUUACUGGGCGUAAAGGGAGCGUAGGCGGAUUUUUAAGUGAGAUGUG